AUACGGAGGGCGCAAGCGUUACUCGGAAUCACUGGGCGUAAAGCGCGCGCAGGCGGUCUUUUAAGUUGGAUGUGAAAGCCUACGGCUCAACCGUAGAACUGCAUCCAAAACUAUUAGACUAGAGUGUGGGAGAGGAAGAUGGAAUUAGUUGUGUAGGGGUAAAAUCCGUAGAGAUAACUAGGAAUACCAAAAGCGAAGGCAAUCUUCUGGAACACUACUGACGCUGAGGCGCGAAAGCGUGGGGAGCAAACAGGAUUAGAAACCCCAGUAGUCC
rnacentral:rRNA from 1 species